AGAGUUUGAUCCUGGCUCAGGACGAACGCUGGCGGCGUGCCUAAGACAUGCAAGUCGAGCGGGGUUUCGGGGCUUCGGCCCUGAAGCCUAGCGGCGGACGGGUGAGUAACACGUGGAUAACCUGCCCUCUGCUCUGGGAUAACAGGCCGAAAGACCUGCUAAUACCGGAUAAGCUCACGGACCCGCAUGGGUUUGGGAGAAAAGGCGCUGGAGUCAGUGGCGCUGGCAGAGGAGGGGUCCGCGGCCCAUUAGCUGGUUGGCGGGGUAACGGCCCACCAAGGCGACGAUGGGUAGCCGGCCUGAGAGGGCGACCGGCCACACUGGGACUGAGACACGGCCCAGACUCCUACGGGAGGCAGCAGUCGGGAAUUUUGCACAAUGGCCGAAAGGCUGAUGCAGCAACGCCGCGUGAGCGAAGAAGGCCUUCGGGUUGUAAAGCUCUGUUGCCUGCGAAGAAGGGCCCUGUCAGGAAAUGGGCGGGGUUUGACGGUAGCAGGCGAGGAAGCCCCGGCAAACUACGUGCCAGCAGCCGCGGUAAUACGUAGGGGGCGAGCGUUGUCCGGAAUUACUGGGCGUAAAGGGCGUGUAGGCGGCCUGUUAAGUCAGGGGUGAAAGACCGGGGCUCAACCCCGGGGGUGCCUCUGAAACUGGCGGGCUUGAGUGCUCUAGAGGGCAGUGGAAUUCCCGGUGUAGCAGUGAAAUGCGUAGAGAUCGGGAGGAACACCAGUGGCGAAGGCGGCUGCCUGGGGAGUCACUGACGCUGAGGCGCGAAAGCUAGGGGAGCAAACAGGAUUAGAUAC
rnacentral:rRNA from 1 species